rnacentral:tRNA from 1 species
GGAUAUAGCUCAGUUGGUAGAGCAUCUGACUGUUAAUCAGAGCGUCACAGGUUCGAUUCCUGUUAUUCCAGUUACCCCGCCA